rnacentral:rRNA from 1 species
CUUAGAGUUCUUUCUGGCUCAGGAUGAACGCUGGCGGUAUGCUUAACACAUGCAAGUCGAACGGUGUCUUCGGACAUAGUGUUUUACGGGUGAGUAACGCGUGAGAAUCUAGCUUCAGGUCUGGGACAACCACUGGAAACGGUGGCUAAUACCGGAUGUGCCGGAAGGUGAAAGGCUUGCUGCCUGAAGAUGAGCUCGCGUCCGAUUAGCUAGUAGGUGGGGUAAGAGCCUACCUAGGCGACGAUCGGUAGCUGGUCUGAGAGGAUGACCAGCCACACUGGGACUGAGACACGGCCCAGACUCCUACGGGAGGCAGCAGUGGGGAAUUUUCCGCAAUGGGCGAAAGCCUGACGGAGCAAUACCGCGUGAGGGAGGAAGGCUCUUGGGUUGUAAACCUCUUUUCUCAGGGAAGAACACAAUGACGGUACCUGAGGAAUCAGCAUCGGCUAACUCCGUGCCAGCAGCCGCGGUAAUACGGAGGAUGCAAGCGUUAUCCGGAAUGAUUGGGCGUAAAGCGUCCGCAGGUGGCUGUGUAAGUCUGCUGUCAAAGAGCAAAGCUCAACUUUGUAAAGGCAGUGGAAACUACACGGCUAGAGUGCGUUCGGGGCAGAGGGAAUUCCUGGUGUAGCGGUGAAAUGCGUAGAGAUCAGGAAGAACACCGGUGGCGAAGGCGCUCUGCUAGGCCGCAACUGACACUGAGGGACGAAAGCUAGGGGAGCGAAUGGGAUUAGAUACCCCAGUAGUCCUAGCUGUAAACGAUGGA